rnacentral:rRNA from 1 species
UGGGGAAUAUUGGACAAUGGGGGAAACCCUGAUCCAGCCAUGCCGCGUGUGUGAAGAAGGCCUUUUGGUUGUAAAGCACUUUAAGCAGUGAAGAAGACUCUUCGGUUAAUACCCGGAGACGAUGACAUUAGCUGCAGAAUAAGCACCGGCUAACUCUGUGCCAGCAGCCGCGGUAAUACAGAGGGUGCAAGCGUUAAUCGGAAUUACUGGGCGUAAAGGGAGCGUAGGUGGCUCGAUAAGUCAGAUGUGAAAUCCCCGGGCUCAACCUGGGAACUGCAUCUGAUACUGUUGAGCUAGAGUAUGUGAGAGGAAGGUAGAAUUCCAGGUGUAGCGGUGAAAUGCGUAGAGAUCUGGAGGAAUACCGAUGGCGAAGGCAGCCUUCUGGCAUAAUACUGACACUGAGGCUCGAAAGCGUGGGUAGCAAACA